CGCGUAGGCGGUUUACUAAGUCAGAUGUGAAAGCCCAUGGCUCAACCAUGGAAGUGCAUUUGAAACUGGCAGACUUGAGUAUUGGAGGGGGUGGUGGAAUUCCCGGUGUAGAGGUGAAAUUCGUAGAUAUCGGGAGGAAUACCAGUGGCGAAGGCGACCACCUGGCCAAAUACUGACGCUGAGGUGCGAAAGCGUGGGGAGCAAACAG
rnacentral:rRNA from 1 species